rnacentral:rRNA from 1 species
ACGGUAACAGGCCGCAAGGUGCUGACGAGUGGCGAACGGGUGAGUAAUGUAUCGGAACGUGCCCAGUCGUGGGGGAUAACGCAGCGAAAGCUGCGCUAAUACCGCAUACGAUCUACGGAUGAAAGUGGGGGAUCGCAAGACCUCAUGCUCAUGGAGCGGCCGAUAUCUGAUUAGCUAGUUGGUGGGGUAAAGGCCUACCAAGGCAUCGAUCAGUAGCUGGUCUGAGAGGACGACCAGCCACACUGGAACUGAGACACGGUCCAGACUCCUACGGGAGGCAGCAGUGGGGAAUUUUGGACAAUGGGCGAAAGCCUGAUCCAGCCAUGCCGCGUGCAGGAUGAAGGCCUUCGGGUUGUAAACUGCUUUUGUACGGAACGAAAAAGUCUUCUCUAAUACAGGGGGCGAAUGACGGUACCGUAAGAAUAAGCACCGGCUAACUACGUGCCAGCAGCCGCGGUAAUACGUAGGGUGCGAGCGUUAAUCGGAAUUACUGGGCGUAAAGCGUGCGCAGGCGGUUAUGUAAGACAGUUGUGAAAUCCCCGGGCUCAACCUGGGAACUGCAUCUGUGACUGCAUAGCUAGAGUACGGUAGAGGGGGAUGGAAUUCCGCGUGUAGCAGUGAAAUGCGUAGAUAUGCGGAGGAACACCGAUGGCGAAGGCAAUCCCCUGGACCUGUACUGACGCUCAUGCACGAAAGCGUGGGGAGCAAACAGGAUUAGAUACCCUGGUAGUCCACGCCCUAAACGAUGUCAACUGGUUGUUGGGUCUUCACUGACUCAGUAACGAAGCUAACGCG